ACAUACGACCAUAGGGUGUGGAGAACAGGGCUUCCCGUCCGCUCAGCCGUACUUAAGCCACACGCCGGGAGGUUAGUAGUUGGGUGGGUGACCACCAGCG
rfam:Aspergillus flavus AF70 613, whole genome shotgun sequence.